GGUUAACCGAAUAGGGGAGCCGAAGGGAAACCGAGUCUUAACUGGGCGUUAAGUUGCAGGGUAUAGACCCGAAACCCGGUGAUCUAGCCAUGGGCAGGUUGAAGGUUGGGUAACACUAACUGGAGGACCGAACCGACUAAUGUUGAAAAAUUAGCGGAUGACUUGUGGCUGGGGGUGAAAGGCCAAUCAAACCGGGAGAUAGCUGGUUCUCCCCGAAAGCUAUUUAGGUAGCGCCUCGUGAAUUCAUCUCCGGGGGUAGAGCACUGUUUCGGCAAGGGGGUCAUCCCGACUUACCAACCCGAUGCAAACUGCGAAUACCGGAGAAUGUUAUCACGGGAGACACACGGCGGGUGCUAACGUCCGUCGUGAAGAGGGAAACAACCCAGACCGCCAGCUAAGGUCCCAAAGUCAUGGUUAAGUGGGAAACGAUGUGGGAAGGCCCAGACAGCCAGGAUGUUGGCUUAGAAGCAGCCAUCAUUUAAAGAAAGCGUAAUAGCUCACUGGUCGAGUCGGCCUGCGCGGAAGAUGUAACGGGGCUAAACCAUGCACCGAAGCUGCGGCAGCGACACUAUGUGUUGUUGGGUAGGGGAGCGUUCUGUAAGCCUGUGAAGGUGUACUGUGAGGUAUGCUGGAGGUAUCAGAAGUGCGAAUGCUGACAUAAGUAACGAUAAAGCGGGUGAAAAGCCCGCUCGCCGGAAGACCAAGGGUUCCUGUCCAACGUUAAUCGGGGCAGGGUGAGUCGACCCCUAAGGCGAGGCCGAAAGGCGUAGUCGAUGGGAAACAGGUUAAUAUUCCUGUACUUGGUGUUACUGCGAAGGGGGGACGGAGAAGGCUAUGUUGGCCGGGCGACGGUUGUCCCGGUUUAAGCGUGUAGGCUGGUUUUCCAGGCAAAUCCGGAAAAUCAAGGCUGAGGCGUGAUGACGAGGCACUACGGUGCUGAAGCAACAAAUGCCCUGCUUCCAGGAAAAGCCUCUAAGCAUCAGGUAACAUCAAAUCGUACCCCAAACCGACACAGGUGGUCAGGUAGAGAAUACCAAGGCGCUUGAGAGAACUCGGGUGAAGGAACUAGGCAAAAUGGUGCCGUAACUUCGGGAGAAGGCACGCUGAUAUGUAGGUGAAGUCCCUCGCGGAUGGAGCUGAAAUCAGUCGAAGAUACCAGCUGGCUGCAACUGUUUAUUAAAAACACAGCACUGUGCAAACACGAAAGUGGACGUAUACGGUGUGACGCCUGCCCGGUGCCGGAAGGUUAAUUGAUGGGGUCAGCGCAAGCGAAGCUCUUGAUCGAAGCCCCGGUAAACGGCGGCCGUAACUAUAACGGUCCUAAGGUAGCGAAAUUCCUUGUCGGGUAAGUUCCGACCUGCACGAAUGGCGUAAUGAUGGCCAGGCUGUCUCCACCCGAGACUCAGUGAAAUUGAACUCGCUGUGAAGAUGCAGUGUACCCGCGGCAAGACGGAAAGACCCCGUGAACCUUUACUAUAGCUUGACACUGAACAUUGAGCCUUGAUGUGUAGGAUAGGUGGGAGGCUUAGAAGUGUGGACGCCAGUCUGCAUGGAGCCGACCUUGAAAUACCACCCUUUAAUGUUUGAUGUUCUAACGUUGACCCGUGAUCCGGGUUGCGGACAGUGUCUGGUGGGUAGUUUGACUGGGGCGGUCUCCUCCUAAAGAGUAACGGAGGAGCACGAAGGUUGGCUAAUCCUGGUCGGACAUCAGGAGGUUAGUGCAAUGGCAUAAGCCAGCUUGACUGCGAGCGUGACGGCGCGAGCAGGUGCGAAAGCAGGUCAUAGUGAUCCGGUGGUUCUGAAUGGAAGGGCCAUCGCUCAACGGAUAAAAGGUACUCCGGGGAUAACAGGCUGAUACCGCCCAAGAGUUCAUAUCGACGGCGGUGUUUGGCACCUCGAUGUCGGCUCAUCACAUCCUGGGGCUGAAGUAGGUCCCAAGGGUAUGGCUGUUCGCCAUUUAAAGUGGUACGCGAGCUGGGUUUAGAACGUCGUGAGACAGUUCGGUCCCUAUCUGCCGUGGGCGCUGGAGAACUGAGGGGGGCUGCUCCUAGUACGAGAGGACCGGAGUGGACGCAUCACUGGUGUUCGGGUUGUCAUGCCAAUGGCACUGCCCGGUAGCUAAAUGCGGAAGAGAUAAGUGCUGAAAGCAUCUAAGCACGAAACUUGCCCCGAGAUGAGUUCUCCCUGACCCUUUAAGGGUCCUGAAGGAACGUUGAAGACGACGACGUUGAUAGGCCGGGUGUGUAAGCGCAGCGAUGCGUUGAGCUAACCGGUACUAAUGAACCGUGAGGCUUAACCUU
rnacentral:rRNA from 1 species